rnacentral:rRNA from 1 species
CCUACGGGUGGCAGCAGUGAGGAAUAUUGGUCAAUGGACGCAAGUCUGAACCAGCCAUGCCGCGUGCAGGAAGACGGCUCUAUGAGUUGUAAACUGCUUUUGUACGAGGGUAAACGCAGAUACGUGUAUCUGUCUGCAAGUAUCGUACGAAUAAGGAUCGGCUAACUCCGUGCCAGCAGCCGCGGUACUACGGAGGAUUCAAGCGUUAUCCGGAUUUAUUGGGUUUAAAGGGUGCGUAGGCGGUCGGAUAAGUUAGAGGUGAAAUCCCGAGGCUCAACUUCGGAAUUGCGUCUGAUACUGGUCGGCUAGAGAGUAGUUGCGGUAGGCGGAAUGUAUGGUGUAGCGGUGAAAUGCUUAGAGAUCAUACAGAACACCGAUUGCGAAGGCAGCUUACCAAGCUACUUCUGACGUUGAGGCACGAAAGCGUGGGGAGCAAACAGGAUUAGAUACCCGUGUAGUC